rnacentral:tRNA from 3 species
GCCCCUGUAGCUCAGAGGAUAGAGCAGCAGUUUCCUAAACUGCGAGUCACAGGUUCGAGUCCUGUCAGGGGCGCCA